UACAGAGGGGGCAAGCGUUGUUCGGAAUUACUGGGCGUAAAGGGCGCGUAGGCGGCCUUCUAAGUCGAACGUGAAAUCCCCGGGCUCAACCCGGGAACUGCGUCCGAGACUGGAAGGCUUGAAUCCGAGAGAGGGGCGUGGAAUUCCGGGUGUAGCGGUGAAAUGCGUAGAUAUUGGGAGGAACACCAGUGGCGAAGGCGGCUCACUGGACCGGUUCUGACGCUGAGGCGCGAAAGCGUGGGGAGCAAACGGG
rnacentral:rRNA from 1 species